rnacentral:lncRNA from 10 species
UUUGAUCUUCACUGCCAAGAAUAAAACUGAAGGGGUCUUGAGGAGAGUCAAAUGAAGACCUAUUUCUCAAACGACUAAAACCAACUCAAGGUGCCUAUUCCAAAUGGAGUAAACAUGUGCCUGUCUGGGCCGUUGAAGAAUGAGAGGUUUGUGAAGCAAAGCUGAGAUGCUUCAGUCUUCCAACCAUGGACAUCGUCAGUCAGCUGACAGCCAGCUAACCCCAGACAUGAGAAUGAGCCCAGCCAAGAUCAGUAGCACCACCGAAGCCACUAACAGUCAACCACAGAGGUGUGAGUAAUAAAUAUUCAUUGUGGCA